rnacentral:lncRNA from 1 species
GGCGUAUCGAGGUCGUGCCGGAUCGGCAGGUGAGUGGGAGUUAUGUACUUUGCAUCAUGAGCACAUUCCUUAUUCAUUUUCAUGAAUGUUGUCAAGUGUGACUUGAUUCCAUCUGAGCUUAUUGAUUAAUUGUUGUGGUAGAUUCCUCUAUGUUUUGUUCUCCAUGCUUGAUUAUUCUGUACAUGCAUUUGAGGGAACAUUGAGAGGAAUUACGAGGGGUAGAUGAGUAAUUAAAUUGAUUCCGAAUUGUAAAAUGACUUCUUUUGUAAAUUGAUUUCAUUUCCUCUAUUUCAAAGACUUGUUAGUGGUAGUCUUGAUUAUACUCCUUUAUGAGUAGUUAAAUUGGAUCCGAAUUGUGAAAUGACUUCUUUUGUAAAUUGAUUUCAUUUUCUCUAUUUCAAAGAUUUGUAGAGCCAUUUUCAGUGGUAUAUUGAGUUGCAUUGCACUCCCAUGAUUCCUCACUCCCAACCCUGAUGUUACUUAUGAUUGGGUCGUGGCCGAGUGAGUGGUAGUCUUGAUUAUGCUCCUUUUUAGUAGAGUAUUGGGAGGGUGCAUUAUGGCAUUCAUGCAUGGCUUGGCAGUAUCUACAGGACACCUAUAGUCGAUGGGGUUGAACAUCGGCUUGUGUGCACAUAGUAGCCUUCUGGAUGGGCGGAACCCAGUCCCUUCCUAGGGGGGACACGGCCCUAGGCGUAGGAUCGGCCGGUCCUAUGACUUAUAUUCUGCUUGCCGCUGGGCAUAGUAAGACCCCGCGAGGUGCAGUAUGGCUUUCCGCGGAUGUAGAAUUCCCGCGAGGUGCCGUUUAGUAUAUAGAUGUGAGAUAUUUCUAUGGAUUUCUGUUAUGGAUACUGGCCAGCAUUUACAUGAUCAGUGUGGUGUCUUAUCCUGCAUAUGCAUGUGACAGUAGGGAGUUGUGGUGGUUCUUCUGGGGCGUAAGACCCACCUCCCGACAGCUGUCCAGCGAUGACUUUGCAUAUUGACAUCCGGAUUUAUAUAUUGGUGUGGUGUCAUAAUCUAUGCAUGCAUAUGGCAGUAGGGAGUUGUUGUGGUUCGCCUGGGGCGUAAGACCUACCUUCCGAUAGCUAUAUAUCAAUGUUUCAGCAUAUUGACACCCGAUUUGUAUGUUCCAGUAUUAUGAUCUGUCGAGCAUAUUCAUGAGUAGCAUAAAUGACUACUUGAUUAUUCCAUAUGUGCUCUACAUGAGUUAAUUGUGAUUGUGGUGAUGUUGAUGAUUUACUCCAUAUUUUCUAUGUUGAGUUCAUGUUUAUCUUGUUAUUGAUCUUGAGAUUUCAUCUCGAGCCAUGAUUAUAUUCUGUCUCAUGUGCAUAGUACUCUCUACUCCACUUACUGAGUAUUGAUAUACUCACUCUCCAGUUUGAUGUUUUUGAUUGCAGGGCAGGUAUUGUAUAGAGAGGAGCAGGAUUAGUGGUUGCCUGCUAGCUGUGCCGCUCCAUAGUAUAGUAUAAUGUAGAUAGAGGUUUAUACCCUUUUGGUGUAUUAUAAAUCUUCUGUUGUAUAUAGUAUAUAGUUACAGUCAUAGAUCCUGUUGUGGAUAUGGGUUUGACCAUGGAUGGAAUGGGAACCAUAUUUUUAUACAGAUGAGUUAUAUGCCUGUGAUGAUGUAUUGAUAUAUAUUGUCCAGGUUCAUUAUGUGACAGAUUAUGUGAUUGCUGCUCUGACAGGUAGUGUUGUUGUAUGUAAUGAGAUAAUCCUGACAGUUCAAUAUAGAAAAGGUGAUCAUUUUUGUGCAUGCAUC